AAACAGAAUUUACUGGUUGUCCCCUGGGUGUUGGUGCAUCAUCAUUUGAUGUUCCAGGAUAGAAAAUCCGGUAAUACCAGGUGUCUGGACUACUGAUUGUCCAUCCCUGUGCAUCUGUUGGUAUAAAACUCGGAUUAUUCAAUUAUUAACAGUAUUUAUGCAAUCAGUAAUUAUGCAGUCAGCCAAUCAGAGCCUUGGCGGUGAGUGCCAGUGUGCUGCAGUCAGCGAUGAGACCACACUGACCGUCAGGGCCAACAUCUAAAUCCUCACUGUCGUCAGCUGCUCACGUGUCUCCUUCCUGUGACUCGCUGCUUUGACACUAAUGACCCGUGCUUCUCCAGUGAUGUCAGAAUAUCAGCUAACAGCCUUCCACGCACAAUAAUUCCCUCGACAGAGGCUUCUGCAUGUUUCACAGGGGACUGAAGGAGGCAAGUUUUUACUCCUUCACAGACAGUUUUUCCAGUUCCAAAAAAGGACACCUUGAAAACGCGUGGACGCUACAAUAUCUGCUGUAGCUUACAACUGCCACAUGCACCGCAUUCAUAUCCGUAUCACCACACUUUAUGAGAUUUAAUAUUGAAAAUAGCAUUAGAAAUAUAAAUAUCAAAUGGAGGUCUCAGAGGAAGAUUUUAAUCACCGAAGGCACUUGCCAUUUGCGUGCCACUUGAAGGUGACAGCGCGAAACGCCUUUUGAAGAUCACCUCAGCAGCGUAUCUCAUGUGUGCAGGUUCAGGGGGAAAUUGAAUCAGUAUGACGAUGUGCACAGGCUGCUCUGGAACAAUGCACCGCUCGCCCAAGAGCACAGAGGUCCACCAAGUGUCUGUCAGCGGGCAAGUGGAGCAGAGAGCGUAUUCCCCCUGUCAACAGUGAUGAGCCUCAUCAUGGGCAGGUCUGCAUGAGGAUGCAGCUGAUGUCUACCUGCCAGGCACGGAUCGUGGUCGGGGAAGGGGGGGGGGGGAUUGGGGGCUGCACCCCUGGACUCCAGCACUGGAGAGUCUGGAGACUUGGUUCCCUGCUGAACCCCUAUAUAUCCAGUUACAUUUAAGGUUCAUUUCUGAAUUUCAGGCGGGGUCAGUACACAAGAUAGCCAAAAAUCUAGGAUGCACACCAGAGAUAGCCUCUGGCAGGUUGAUGGAUGGUGUUUCUCUUAACCUUCGGUUUGCUUCAACAAGAUAAAAGUUCAGUCUACGCUCCCCAUUUUAAUUUUGCCAUUAAUUUUGCAUCAGGUAGGACACAAAGAUGCAAUGUAUAAAGUAGGAGAAGAUGAUGUUCAUUUAUACACACCACCAGUUGAAGUUGCCAGUGUUCAUAAACACUCAACAGUGUGGUCCACAGAUUGUGAGUGUAAUAUAAUGUAAGUAUGAGAGUAUAGAUUAAUGUAUAAAUUAAUUAACUGAGCUUCAAUUGAUUCAUUACUUGAUCUAUGUAUUAAUUAAUAUUCAAUGUUCUGUCAUAAGUAAAGCAUCAAGGGCUGAAAUAUCAACCAGCCAUCGAAUUAAAAAUACAGAAAAAUGACAGUCAGAGGCAGUACGUGUCAUUACAUCCCUGUGCAGUAGAGGGGACA